AGGUUAAGUUAAUAAGGGCGCAUGGUGAAUGCCUUGGUACUAGGAGCCGAUGAAGGACGCAACUAACUGCGAUAAGCUUCGGGGAGCUGUACGUAAGCUUUGAUCCGGAGAUUUCCGAAUGAGAAAACUCGACCAGUGUUAUGACUGGUCACUGCAUAGUGAAUACAUAGCUAUGCAGAGGCAGACGUGGGGAACUGAAACAUCUAAGUACC
rnacentral:rRNA from 1 species